ACGGCCAGAGAUGGUCGCCCCCUUGUGGUCGGUGUACAGGUGGUGCAUGGUUGUCGUCAGCUCGUGUCGUGAGAUGUUGGGUUAAGUCCCGCAACGAGCGCAACCCUCGUUCUAUGUUGCCAGCGCGUUAUGGCGGGGACUCAUAGGAGACUGCCGGGGUCAACUCGGAGGAAGGUGGGGAUGACGUCAAAUCAUCAUGCCCCUUAUGUCUUGGGCUUCACGCAUGCUACAAUGGCCGGUACAAAGGGCUGCGAUACCGUAAGGUGGAGCGAAUCCCAAAAAGCCGGUCUCAGUUCGGAUUGAGGUCUGCAACUCGACCUCAUGAAGUCGGAGUCGCUAGUAAUCGCAGAUCAGCAACGCUGCGGUGAAUACGUUCCCGGGUCUUGUACACACCGA
rnacentral:rRNA from 1 species